AGUGAACGCUGGCGGUAGGCCUAACACAUGCAAGUCGAACGGCAGCACAGUAAGAGCUUGCUCUUACGGUUGGCGAGUGGCGGACGGGUGAGGCAUACAUAGGAAUCUACUUUUUCGUGGGGGAUAACGUAGGGACACUUACGCUACUACCGAAUACGAUCUACGGGUGAAAGCAGGGGAUCUUCGGACCUUGCGCGAUUGAUUGAGCUGAUGUCGGAUUAGCUAGUUGGCGGGGUAAAGGCCCACCAAGGCGACGAUCCGUAGCUGGUCUGAGAGGAUGAUCAGCCACACUGGAACUGAGACACGGUCCAGACUCCUACGGGAGGCAGCAGUGGGGAAUAUUGGACAAUGGGCGCAAGCCUGAUCCAGCCAUACCGCGUGGGUGAAGAAGGCCUUCGGGUUGUAAAGCCCUGUUGUUGGGAAAGAAAAGCAGCAGGUUAAUACCCCGCUGUUCUGACGGUACCCAAAGAAUAAGCACCGGCUAACUUCGUG
rnacentral:rRNA from 1 species